UACGAAGGGUGCAAACGUUGCUCGGAAUCAUUGGGCGUAAAGCGCACGUAGGCGGCCUCAAAAGUCGGAUGUGAAAUCCCGUGGCUCAACCAUGGACGUGCAUUCGAAACUGCGAGGCUUGAGUAUGGAAGAGGGUCGCGGAAUUCCCGGUGUAGAGGUGAAAUUCGUAGAUAUCGGGAGGAACACCAGUGGCGAAGGCGGCGACCUGGGCCAAUACUGACGCUGAGGUGCGAAAGCGUGGGGAGCGAACAGG
rnacentral:rRNA from 1 species